rnacentral:misc_RNA from 1 species
GAAAUGCGAUAAGUAGUGUGAAUCGCAACUAACAGUGAAUCAUCGAAUCUUUGAACGCAGGCCGCACCUUGCAGCAUCAUUCGUGUUGCUACAAGGUAUAUACGUAUGAGUGUCAGUCCAAUAUCAUUUUGGCCCAAGAGGAUUAUAUAUUGUCCCAACUAUUUAUAAUACUCUUGGUUACAUGUUUAUAAUUUUAUUUUAAAUAUGUCUGGCCUCAUAUGUGUAAGGUUACCCGCUGGAUUUAAGC